rnacentral:rRNA from 1 species
AAUGAACGCUGGCGGCGUGCCUAACACAUGCAAGUCGUACGAGAAAGGGGCUUCGGCCCUGAGUAGAGUGGCGCACGGGUGAGUAACGCGUGGGUAAUCUGCCCUUGGAUUUGGAAUAACUCCGCGAAAGUGGAGCUAAUACCGGAUAGUCUGGCUUUUUAACGAAGUCGGUAAAGGAUGCCUCUGCAUAUGCAUUCGUCCGAGGAUGAGCCCGCGUCUCAUUAGCUAGUUGGUAGGGUAAUGGCCUACCAAGGCAACGAUGAGUAGCUGGUCUGAGAGGAUGAUCAGCCACACUGGAACUGAAACACGGUCAAGACUCCUACGGGAGGCAGCAGUGGGGAAUAUUGCGCAAUGGGCGAAAGCCUGACGCAGCAACGCCGCGUGAGGGAUGAAGGCUUUCGGGUCGUAAACCUCUGUCAGAAGGGAAGAACGGGCAUUGGUCUAAUAGGCCUUUGUUUUGACGGUACCUUCAGAGGAAGUACCGGCUAACUCCGUGCCAGCCGCCGCAGUAA